CAUCAUCAACUAAAAAAAAUACGCAUCAUUCAUUCAUUCAUAGAUAUCAGAAAAACGCAAACCCUUCUUAUUCUCAAACUCUUUUUCACGCAAAACCCUCUCUCACUGCAAACUCAAUCUUCACUAUAAACCCUUCUCUCACUGCAAAUCCUUCUUCACCGCAAAUUUCUUCGUCAAACACUUCUCACGAACCCAGAAAUCUCUUCGUCGAGUCCUUCACAUAAAACCCAGAAUUCGUACUGUUCUCACCAACCCUUCAUUGCAAAUUUGAAACCCUAAAUUUCUGGAAGGUGCUACUCAUUCAUAUGUAUGUAAUUUGUAAACCCUAACUUUUUUUUUGUUUUGUUGUAAUAUUUCAAUUUCUGUUUCUGUUUUAUUAUUAUUUUCCUGCAAUGCUAUAUGGUAUCUGCUACUUUACAUAGCAGAUUUUUUGCCCCCAAUGGUUAACACUAUCCAUCUGGCUAUUAUGAGUGUGGCUAUUAUGUCAUGAUACACAUGUUGAACAUUGUAUCUACUGAUGUUGUUGGUUCAUGGACCCAAGUACGGUUACAAUUUUAAUGAUAUGCAGUUGCCCCAACACAUUAAGGAGGGAUAUGAAGUUUUUUCAAGACUUGGAAUAAUUCAUUAUUGUGUUGGUUCUCUCUGUGUUAGAAUUGUAAUUAGUUUGUAGUUAGUUACUUAUUUCUUCAUGAGUGAUAUUACCCCUUAAAUUAGUUUGUAAAUUUGUUCUUAUGUAAUUUAAAUUGGGGAAAAUAAAUUACUCUCAUUUGGA